CGCACCUUGCGCUCCUUGGUAUUCCGAGGAGCAUGCCUGUUUGAGUGUCUUGAAGUCAUCAACCCCUACCGUUUCGUGCGGUUUGCGUGUUGGAUCUGGGGGCUUGCUGCCGAGAGGUGGCUCCCCUAAAAUGCAUCGGUUGGGCCUGUGGGUCGUACUCGAUUGGGCGUUGUAUUAUCCUCGCUUUAACGAGAUGUUCCCCUCCUUGCGCCCCUCCACGACCUGCCUUAUGAGUGGCGGUCAAGCAAAAACUUUGAAAUUCUGACCUCAAAUCAGGUAGGACUACCCGCUGAACUUAA
rnacentral:misc_RNA from 1 species